rnacentral:rRNA from 1 species
AUUGAACGCUGGCGGCAGGCCUAACACAUGCAAGUCGAGCGAGCGGAGGACGGGUUAGUAAUGUAUGGGGACUGCCCGAUAGAGGGGGAUAACUACUGGAAACGGUGGCUAAUACCGCAUACUAUCAGAUAACCCCUAUGGGAUUAGCUAGUAGGUUGGGGAAACGCUCACCUAGGCGACGAUCUCUAGCUGUGCUGAGAGGAUUAUCAGCCAGACUGGGACUGAGACACGGCCCAGACUCCUACGGAGGCAGCAGUGGGGAAUAUUGCACAAGGGGCGCAAGCCUGAUGCAGCCAGGCCGCGUGUAUGAAGAAGGCCUUAGGGUUGUAAAGUACUUUCAGCGGGGAGGCGUUACCCGCAGAAGAAGCACCGGCUAACUCAGUGCCAGCAGCCGCGGUAAUAC